UACGGAGGGUGCAAGCGUUAUCCGGAUUCACUGGGUUUAAAGGGUGCGUAGGAGGGCAGGUAAGUCAGUGGUGAAAUCUCCAAGCUUAACUUGGAAACUGCCGUUGAUACUAUCUGUCUUGAAUAUUGUGGAGGUGAGCGGAAUAUGUCAUGUAGCGGUGAAAUGCUUAGAUAUGACAUAGAACACCAAUUGCGAAGGCAGCCCACUACUCAAUCAUUGACUCUGAGGCACGAAAGCGUGGGGAUCAAACAGG
rnacentral:rRNA from 1 species